GAUGAACGCUGGCGGCGUGCCUAAUACAUGCAAGUCGAGCGAACGGACGAGAAGCUUGCUUCUCUGAUGUUAGCGGCGGACGGGUGAGUAACACGUGGAUAACCUACCUAUAAGACUGGGAUAACUUCGGGAAACCGUAGCUAAUACCGGAUAAUAUUUUGAACCGCAUGGUUCAAAAGUGAAAGACGGUCUUGCUGUCACUUAUAGAUGGAUCCGCGCUGCAUUAGCUAGUUGGUAAGGUAACGGCUUACCAAGGCAAGGAUGCAUAGCCGACCUCAGAGGGUGAUCGGCCACACUGGAACUGGGACACGGUCCAGACUCCUAAGGGAGGCAGCAGUAGGGAAUCUUCCGCAAUGGGCGAAAGCCUGACGGAGCAACGCCGCGUGAGUGAUGACGGUCUUCGGAUCGUAAAACUCUGUUAUUAGGGAAGAACAUAUGUGUAAGUAGCUGUGCACAUCUUGACGGUACCUAAUCAGAAAGCCACGGCUAACUACGUG
rnacentral:rRNA from 1 species